UGGCGAGUGGCGAACGGGUGAGUAAUAUAUCGGAACGUGCCCGGUCGUGGGGGAUAACGUAGCGAAAGCUACGCUAAUACCGCAUACGAUCUACGGAUGAAAGCGGGGGAUCGCAAGACCUCGCGCGAUUGGAGCGGCCGAUAUCAGAUUAGGUAGUUGGUGAGGUAAAGGCUCACCAAGCCGACGAUCUGUAGCUGGUCUGAGAGGACGGCCAGCCACACUGGGACUGAGACACGGCCCAGACUCCUACGGGAGGCAGCAGUGGGGAAUUUUGGACAAUGGGCGCAAGCCUGAUCCAGCAAUGCCGCGUGCAGGAUGAAGGCCUUCGGGUUGUAAACUGCUUUGUACGGAACGAAACGGUGAGCUCUAAUACAGUUUGCUAAUGACGGUACCGUAAGAAUAAGCACCGGCUAACUACGUG
rnacentral:rRNA from 1 species